rnacentral:rRNA from 1 species
UGUAAGCGUAUACCAAAGUUGUUGCAGUUAAAACGCUCGUAGUCGGAAUUUGGCAGUUCCGGAAGUGUGCACGUCGUGUGCGCACUUUGCGGGGACUGCUUUUGUGGUCUUGCGUAGGAUGAGGUACUUUCAUUAGUGAACGUCCUCACGCAACCACUCUUUACUGUGAGAAAAUCAGAGUGCUCAAAGCAGGCAUUUGCCGUGAAUGUAUUAGCAUGGAAUAAUAGAAUAGGACUCGGUUCUAUUUUGUUGGUUUGUUGGGACUGAGUAAUGAUUAAGAGGGACAGUUGGGGGCAUUUGUAUUCCGGCGCUAGAGGUGAAAUUCUUAGAUUGCCGGAAGACAAACUGCUGCGAAAGCGUCUGCCAAGGAUGUUUUCAUUAA